rnacentral:rRNA from 1 species
UACGAAGGGGGCUAGCGUUGCUCGGAAUUACUGGGCGUAAAGGGCGCGUAGGCGGCACUGUUAGUCAGGCGUGAAAGUCCUGGGCUCAACCUGGGAACUGCGCUUGAUACGGCAGAGCUAGAGGAUGGAAGAGGCUCGCGGAAUUCCCAGUGUAGCGGUGAAAUGCGUAGAUAUCAGGAGGAACACCGGUGGCGAAGGCGGCUCUCUGGACGGUGACUGACGCUGAGACGCGAAAGCGUGGGGAGCGAACAGG